CCUACGGGGGGCAGCAGUAAGGAAUAUUGGUCAAUGGACGAAAGUCUGAACCAGCCAUGCCGCGUGGAGGAUGAAGGUCCUCUGGAUUGUAAACUUCUUUUAUAUGGGACGAAAAAAGGGUUUUCUAACUCACUUGACGGUACCAUAUGAAUAAGCACCGGCUAACUCCGUGCCAGCAGCCGCGGUAAUACGGAGGGUGCAAGCGUUAUCCGGAUUCACUGGGUUGAAAGGGAGCUGGGGUGGGUUGGGAGAAAGCCCCGAGCUUAACUCGGGAACUGCCAUUGAUACUAUCAGUCUUGAAUACCGUGGAGGUCAGCGGAAUAUGUCAUGUAGCGGUGAAAUGCUUAGAUAUGACAUAGAACACCAAUUGCGAAGGCAGCUGGCUACCCGAAUAUUGACACUGAGGCGCGAAAGCGUGGGGAUCAAACAGGAUUAGAUACCCUUGUAGUC
rnacentral:rRNA from 1 species